AUUGAACGCUGGCGGCAGGCUUAACACAUGCAAGUCGAGCGGAGAUGAGGUGCUUGCACCUUAUCUUAGCGGCGGACGGGUGAGUAAUGCUUAGGAAUCUGCCUAUUAGUGGGGGACAACAUUCCGAAAGGAGUGCUAAUACCGCAUACGUCCUACGGGAGAAAGCAGGGGAUCUUCGGACCUUGCGCUAAUAGAUGAGCCUAAGUCGGAUUAGCUAGUUGGUGGGGUAAAGGCCUACCAAGGCGACGAUCAGUAGCGGGUCUGAGAGGAUGCUCCGCGACACUGGGACUGAGACACGGCCCAGACUCCUACGGGAGGUAGCAGGGGGGAAUAUUGGACAAUGGGGGGAACCCUGAUCCAGCCAUGCCGCGUGUGUGAAGAAGGCCUUAUGGUUGUAAAGCACUUUAAGCGAGGAGGAGGCUACUGAGACUAAUACUCUUGGAUAGUGGACGUUACUCGCAGAAUAAGCACCGGCUAACUCUGUGCCAGCCGCCGCCGUAAUAC
rnacentral:rRNA from 1 species